UACGGAGGGUGCGAGCGUUAAUCGGAAUUACUGGGCGUAAAGCGUGCGUAGGCGGUUGAUUAAGUCAGAUGUGAAAUCCCGGAGCUCAACUCCGGAACUGCAUUUGAAACUGGUCGACUAGAGUAUUGUAGAGGGUGGUGGAAUUUCCAGUGUAGCGGUGAAAUGCGUAGAGAUUGGAAGGAACAUCAGUGGCGAAGGCGGCCACCUGGACAAAUACUGACGCUGAGGCACGAAAGCGUGGGGAGCAAACAGG
rnacentral:rRNA from 1 species